rnacentral:rRNA from 1 species
ACGCUCGACACCUACGGGAGGCNGCAGUGGGGAAUAUUGCACAAUGGGGGAAACCCUGAUGCAGCGACGCCGCGUGGAGGAAGAAGGUCUUCGGAUUGUAAACUCCUGUUGUUGGGGAAAAAGAGGAUGGUACCCAACAAGGAAGUGACGGCUAACUACGUGCCAGAAGCCGCGGUAAUCUGAGCGGGCUGGCAAGGC